rnacentral:misc_RNA from 1 species
UCCGGUUUGUCACCGGCAGUCUCAUUAGAGUGCGCUUGCGUAGCAACUAAUGACAAGGGUUGCGCUCGUUGCGGGACUUAACCCAACAUCUCACGACACGAGCUGACGACAGCCAUGCAGCACCUGUGUGCUGGUUCCCUUGCGGGCACCCCCAGCUUUCGCCAGGGUUCCAGCCAUGUCAAGGGUAGGUAAGGUUUUUCGCGUUGCAUCGAAUUAAUCCACAUCAUCCACCGCUUGUGCGGGUCCCCGUCAAUUCCUUUGAGUUUUAAUCUUGCGACCGUACUCCCCAGGCGGUCAACUUCACGCGUUAGCUGCGUUACCAAGGAAAUCAAUCCCCGACAACUAGUUGACAUCGUUUAGGGCGUGGACUAC